GCUUGCCGGCCUGGCGGUCCUACUCAACACCGCAAGAUUUCAAAAGGGAAAUUCCUCCAGGGCUGAGUCACAGGGAAGAAAGCGAUUUCCUCCGCCUCUUCCAAAGCGGCCCCUUUGGUGCCAGUCUGCUGGAGUUUGCUGGAGGUCCACUCCUGACCCUGUUUGCCUGGGUAUCACCAGCAGAGGCUGCAAAGCAGCAAAGAUUGCUGCCUGUUCUUUCUUCUAGAAGCUUCGACCCAGUGGGGCACCUGUCAGAUGCCAGCCAGAGCUCUCCUGUAUCAGGUGUCUGUCGGUCCAAGCUAGAAGGAUUUUAUAACCUGACAGCGUGCUGGAACUUCUCUGCUGGACUCCUGGACUCCCACAAUGGUUGUGGGGCUAGACAAGAAGGAAAAAAAUCACUGUCCUCAUGGAAGUUAAAUUGUACUGACAAAGGAGGAAAAUGUCAGGGAGUUAACAAUUCAGUCUCUGUGGCUUCCUCCUGUCCUCUCCCUGAAACUGAGAUCCAGCCAAUCUGCACAUUUAUUCUGAGAGUGGCCCCACUUUAAUGACUACACCCAGCUGUCUACACACCAGGAGGGGAGGGAACUGUAUCCUGAGGCACCAACCCGAUUACCCACCCAACAGCCACAGGGACUUCCAGUGACUGGGGCAUCAUCCUCAAUGCCACCAACCCCUCUCCUUCCUGUGGCUUUUCUAACUGGAACUGGAACUCAGAAAGUACAUUAAUCACCAAUUUGGGAAGCUAUAGGAAAGUAUGUUUUCUAAUAUACAGUGAGAGAAUGUGACUGAUAAAACCAAUUUUCUUGAGACUUUCUCCCUGGAAAGUGAAUAUAUGUAUUCAUAGGGCCUUCACAAGCACAGACUAACAAGCAAAGAGCUACAUUCACUGGGAAGGAAGACUCAAAAGUAAGUGAAAAAUAAUAGUUAACCUUUAGAUGUUGUGCAAUAAAUUAUUUUUAAUUACAUUAAAUCAAAAUAGUGUUAAAAUAUUUUCAGGUAAACCUAGUAUAUUUACUAAUAAAUUUAAGUCUUCAUAAAUAUAAAGAUAGAUCAAUGUAAAUGUAAAAAUCAUUUGUUAAACUCCAGAGAUUAUAUAAACAAAAGGUGAACCUAAUGUAAAACUGUGGACUUUAGUUGAAAAUAAUGUGUCACUAUUCUUUCAUGGGUUGUAACAAAUGUGCCACACUAAUGUAAGAUGUUAAUAAUAGCAGAAAUAGGGGGGAGAGAGGAGGGAUCUAGGAGCUCUCUGGAUUUUCCAUUUUAUUUUGUUAUAAAUCUAAAACUGUUCUUAAAAAUAAUGUCUGUUAAUUUUUUUUUUAAAAAGGAAAGAAGCACUGAUACAUGCUAUGACAUGGAAGAACUCUAAAAAUAUUAGGCUAAGGGAAAGAAGCCACAUACACAUACACAUACACAGAUAGUUUAUGGUUCCAUUUAUAUAAAAUAUUCAGAAUAGAAAAGUUCAUAGGGACAGAAAGUAGAUUACCUGGGGAGUAGGGGGUGAAAAAUGGGUAGUAACUGCUUAAUGGGUAUGAAGUUUCGUUUAGGGCGAUGAAAAUAUUCUGGAACUAGAAAGUGAUGAUGAUGGUCACACAGCAAUGUCACAUAUACAAUACCACAGAACUGUACACUUUAAAAUGGUUAAAGGGUUUUAUUUUAUGUUAUGUAUUUUACCACAAUUGAAAAAAAUGUUUAUUAAAAUUAAUGUGUAAACAUUUGUGGAAGAAUAAUGUGUAGUUUCUAACAUUUAUGUGUUUAAAUUUAUGAGUUUAAAAAUAGAAAAAAAAAUGAUGGCCCAGAAGAGCAAGUUCAGAGUGCUGUUCAUGAGUGAUCCGCAUGGGACCGCGAUGCCUCUGACGUCUGCCAUCCUGGAGAGCAGCAGAGCGUCACUAGCAGGUCCUCGUCUUCUCACUUCAUAACAUUCUUUCCAAAAGUCUUGUUGACAUUCUUCUGUCUUCCACAUAUAGUUUAUCUUCUUGAACUCAUUAUAACUUUAAAAUAUUUUUACUGUGUUACAUGUACUGCUUAUAUUUGUUUAUUUUAUAAUUAUUAAUUUUAAAUUGUGCACUUUAUUUUGCUCUAACAAUAAAAUUGACAUGUUCGUAUAGAUGAUACAUAA
ensembl:lncRNA TSBP1-AS1 TSBP1 and BTNL2 antisense RNA 1